GCCACUGUAGCUCAGUUGGUAGAGCGCAUCCAUGGUAAGGAUGAGGUCUCCAGUUCAAUCCUGGACAGUGGCUCCA
rnacentral:tRNA from 1 species